CACAAUCCUCACAUAAACCUCCGAUGGCUUGGAGGUAAAGACUUGAAAACAAUCCAUCACUGUGAAGCAGCCUGACUGAGCAGUUCAUGCAAGCAGGACCAGCUCCAUAAAUCAACUCC